CAGAUAUUGCAGAUUUUACAAAUUGAAGGUUUGUGACAACUCCCUCAAGGAAGUCUGUUGGUGUUAUUUUUCCAACAGCAGGUACUCCAUGUCUGUGUCACAUUUUGGCCUUUAAGCCAAGAGAAGACAUACCUGAGCCAUUGAACCAGAAGGGCUGAGCCCCACCUGGAUCUGAUGCAGAUUAAAAUAUCUUGGACCUUGGGCCUGAGCUUGGAAUGGAAUAAGACCUUUGAGGAUCUUCGUGGAGAUGAUACCCAAGCAUUGUGAACAAGCUCUGUCAACACCAUCUGCUCCACAAAGGAAAGUUGCUGAUUAUUGCAUCUCUAAGUGGAGUCGAUUCUCUCCCAUGAUAGCAGAAGGUUGAAGAAAGAAAAUGGCAAAAUAGAAAAGUCCAUGCUUACAGAAACCAGGGGAGUAGGAGGAAGAAAUUCUGUCUUCAG